UUCCAGGGAUGGGAAUCGAACCCACAUUGUUCCGCUUACUGGGCAGAUGCCAUGUCCACUAGGCUACCCUGGA